CGGACCCCAACAAGUGGCGCAGCGAGCAGGGUCAGCACGGGACUCCCAGAGACAGAGAUGAGCCUUCUGUUCCCAGUGAUCACAGGGCCCCGGGAUGAAGCCAGCCUCAAGAUAAUAAAUCAGGUUCCUCUCCUGGGCUUGUUGAUGACCAUCUUCUCCCCGUGUCUCUUCACAUCAGCUGCCCUCUAUGCAUUUCUUUGUCUGUGUCUAAAUUCCCACUUUUGUAUAAGGACACCAGUCAUAUCGGAUUAGGAGCCCAGCCUACUUCUGACCUUAACUUACUGAAUUACAUCUGUACUGAUCCUAUUUCCAAAUAAAGCCACAUUCUGAGGUACUGGGGGUUGUAUCAUUUUUGGGGGACACACAUUGUUCAACCCAUAACAGUAUGCAUUAUUUGAUGGGGCAGUAAUGAUAGAGAUGUAUAUGUACAGUGCAGACCUAGUAAAGGGAAUAGACACUUCUUUUUUUUUCAGGGCAGACACAUCCUCAAGAAAGCUAAUAUGAAGUCAUAACUAUGUCUCAGGAACUAUUCAUGUUUAUUGAUCACUUAUUAUGUGCUAAACACCAUUUAGUAAUUUAAUGUGUCAACACAAUCCUAUGAAGAAGCUAAGCCACAGAGAGGUAAAGUAAACAGUCCCAAUGCACAUAGGAAGGGGCAGAGGGGCAGAUCAGGUGUAUUUUGUAGGAACCGAAUUACACUGUCUUCCCCUACCUCCCUGAAACACCAGGCUCUCCCCAUUGAGGAUCUGUCCAUAGGUUAAGAACGUGGCACUGACAGGGACCAGCUUACAUGGAUGAUUAGGCGUGAAAGCGGUCUGAGUUAGGCAAAGCAGAAGCCUCAUUGUGCCAAACUUCCUAAUCCCCAUGGUCAGAACCUGUGUCCCCAGGCACCCUUAAAAUAGGCACUUCUCACUCUAUUUCAGGUGCUGUUUGUUGCCUUCCUGGUAUCUUUCAAACGCAGUUAUCAUAUUCAUUUGCUUACCACUAGAGUGUAAGCCCCAUGAAGGCAGGGACCUGUGUUGUCUUUUUUAGUGCUGCAUUGCCAGUGCCUAGCAAUGGCCCAGAGAGGCAUUUGAGAAAGACUUCUGGUAAAUUGGAUUGUGCUGUAUAUAAAGCAGAUUUUUCUGGGGUCUUCUCAGAAAUUAGAUUUCAUUAAAAAAAAAUAAGCCCUAGGUGAAAAAUGCCUCUAGGAACUUGUACAUUAAAUAACUGAGUACAAAUGAGGCACUUAAAGCAUCACAGCUGGUCUCUAGCACAGGUAUGGAGGCCACUGAAGACGUGGCUCUCUGUACCAAAGUCAUAUACUAAAUUCAUUGAUAAUUAUCCUAAGUGGAGCAAAUAACCCUCAUACAUCUCUUGCAGCAUAGCUAUAGGUUUUAUUUUCACUUAAAGUAUUGACUUUCUACCCAGGGAGCCAUCACCUUUUUUUUUUUUUUUUUUUUUUUUUUUGGUAACAGUGGCCUGCUCGCAUUGCUUUGUGGAAACAGGCCACGUAUUCAAGGCGAACUUGACUGUACAGAGCUCACAGUGGGGUGGGUACUUCACGGAUACUCUCUGAGUGGUAUAGCAAAGGUGGUAAGAGCAAAGCAGGUUGGGAGUUGGAAGGCCUAUGUGCUUGCCUUGGCCCACAGGCAGCUCAUAAUUUAUGUUGAGAUUGGGUAUCCCAUUUGUAAGAAGGAGUAAAUGAUUUCUGCCCUGUUUGCCUCACCUACUAUUGCAAGGUUCAAUUAAGUUAAUGCACAGAGAAGUGCUUCGGACCCAGAAUUUACACAUGUAAAGAGUAAUUACCCUGGAGCAACAUGGCAGGAACAGGAGUGCUGGUAUCUGAUAGACCUGAGCUUAAAUUCCAAUUCUACUUGCCUUGCUGUGACUUUAGUUAUCUAUAAAUCUCUUUGAUUUUUUUGUCAUUUGUUUUAUCAUCUGUAAAAUGGGGAGAAUAAUACCAGCCUUGCAUGAUUAUGAGAGUCAAAGGGAAUAAUAUUUGGAAAGUUCUUGGCACAUAGUAGGUGCAGUGGUAACUUUUUUGCCGCUAAUUUUAGUUGUCACUUAAUCAGAGGGUGCCAUCGUAUUAGUUUUCUGUUAUUGCCAUAAACUAUCACACACUUAGCCACUUAAAACAAUACAAAUUUAUCAUCAUGUAUUUAUAGGUCAGAAGUCCAGUGGGCUUGGCUGGUUUCUCUGGCCAGGUCUCACAAAGUUGAAAUCAAGGUGUUGGCAGGUCCAGGGGAUUAUCUACUUUCAGACUUAUUCAAGGCAUUGGUAGAGUGGAGUUCCAUGUGAUUGUAGAAUUGAGGUCUACCAGCUGGUGGCUGGUGAUUGUUUUCUGUUUAUAGAGACCACCCACACUGCUUGGCUUGUGGUCUCUUCACCCUUCUUCAAAGCCAGCAAUGGUGGGUCUUGUCUUCAUUAUUGGAAUGUCUCCUUUGUUUCCCUCUUCUGCUGCAGCUGACUCUUCGUCUCCUCUACCCCUUUACGGGCCCCAUGAUUACGUUGUGUUCAUGUGGAUAAUCCAGGGCUCUAUUUUAAGUUUUCUAACCUGAACUUCAUCUGCAAAGCCACGUAACCAUAUCGUGCCAAGGUAACACCUUCACAAGUUCCAGGGGAUAAGAAUGUGAACAUCUUUGGCUGGGGGUGGGGUGGAGUGGGAUGAUUUUUUCUACCACAACCAUAUGUUGAUAACUGAUGUUCUCAUAUUAUUAACAAUGUCUCUUCAACAAGAACUAAAGUUCCAAGUACUUAGCUCAAUGCCUGGCAUAGAGUAAGUGCUUGAUCAAUAUUAGUUUCUAUUUUUGUUAUUGGUAAGCAGAUGACAAUAAGUAUCUUGGUUUUUUCACAGGUUCUAGCAAAUUCACCUGGCUAAGGGAUGCCUCUUCCUUUACUACUCACUGUCAGCUCUCUCCAGAAAGUCUUUCUGACCCCAGCCCUUGCCCACCAGGCUGGAUUCAGUGCCAGUCCUCUGUGUUACAGCAUCAUAGAACUUUCCUUGUUCAGCUGUCCAUUUCCCUAUCACUCUUCCACCAGAUUGCACUUUUUGAGUACAGAAACUGACAUUUCUGUAUCAUUUAGUAGAGUGUCUGGUACAUAGUACAUGCUCAAGAAAUGCUUAUUGAAUAACUUAAUGAUGGGAACAUUUAUUAUACUUAAAAUUUUUGAUCAAAUAAUUACUGGUUGGAAUGUAUCCCUUAAACGAUACAAAUAUUGAGAUACUCAGUGAGAGGAAAAUCUGUGCAUAUCAGUACUGCGAUUCCUGACAAUUGUCUUUACACAGAAGGCUUCUUGAAAAAUAAAUAAACAUUGUGUUUGUGAAUUGUCCAGGCCUGGAUCUUGAGGAAGGCACUUCUUAAACAGCUGCAACUCCCGAAUGGGACUAAGAAAUGCUGGAAUUUCUCUGAAUAGUCCCAGGACUCUGAAAAGUAAGUAUAUUUCUUUAAUGUGGCUGUGGUAUGUGCACACCCGUUUGCCUUUUAAAGUAGCCUCUUGCCGGCAUUAAUGGCAUCUCCUGAAUAUCUUGGGUUUGAAACUGUGAAUUGAGAAGCAGAAUCAAAUUGUUUAGGGUCGUAUGAAUGCCACAUCUUACAAAGCACAGAGGAAAGACCUUCAGUUUGACAUUUAGAUAAUCAAUGCUUUUUUGGUAGUAACAUUGGUUCUAUUCACAUUUUUUUUCUUGUUUUCUUUCCUCUAGGCACAUUGUAGGGUUGAACUUCCCUGUUUGCAUUACAUAAGAUGGGUCAUCUGACUGGCUGUGGCCAGUGAAAUGUAGAUGAAAAUAGCCUGUAUCACCUCUGGACGAGUCAUUAGGAUCCAGUGUAUGAUUUGCUACAUUUCGUUCUGUCUGCCGUGGUGAUUGGUGAUGGAGGCUCUAUUAGUUUUUGUUCCUGAGUAAAGUGAUGUAGGGAUGAGUCCCUAGCUGACUUCCAAUAUGAGUGAGAAACAAACCUUUAUUGUUUUAAGCCUCCAAGCUUCGAAGUUUAUUAUACAGCCCACCAUGACAAAUAUACUAUUAGUCCUUUAUUUACAUGCUUUAAAAUAUGGCUUGCAUUUUCUGAUUACCAUAUGUUCAUUGUGGAGAAUUUCAAAAAAUAUUAAAAAAAUCCCUUGAAAUCA